GGGGGUGUGGCUCAGUGGUAGAGUGCUUGCCUAGCAUGCAUAAGGCCUUGGUUCAAUCCCCAACACUCCAA
rnacentral:tRNA from 1 species